GAUGAACGCUGGCGGCGUGCCUAACACAUGCAAGUCGAGCGAUUUACUUCGGUAAAGAGCGGCGGACGGGUGAGUAACGCGUGGGUAACCAGCCCUGUACACACGGAUAACAUACCGAAAGGUAUGCUAAUACGAGAUAAUAUACUUUUAUCGCAUGGUAGAAGUAUCAAAGCUUUUGCGGUACAGGAUGGACCCGCGUCUGAUUAGCUAGUUGGUAAGGUAACGGCUUACCAAGGCGACGAUCAGUAGCCGACCUGAGAGGGUGAUCGGCCACAUUGGAACUGAGACACGGUCCAAACUCCUACGGGAGGCAGCAGUGGGGAAUAUUGCACAAUGGGCGAAAGCCUGAUGCAGCAACGCCGCGUGAGUGAUGAAGGCCUUCGGGUCGUAAAGCUCUGUCCUCAAGGAAGAUAAUGACGGUACUUGAGGAGGAAGCCCCGGCUAACUACGUGCCAGCCGCCGCAGUAA
rnacentral:rRNA from 1 species